CCGUUCGUGAAGCCCAGUCGCCGCGUCAGAUCGUCGAUCGAUUUUGAGGCAGCGCGCACGCCUCCUUCUAGCCGCGCGUUUCCUCUUCUUCCAGCAACGUGUUUUUUCUUCUAACCGCGAUUCACAAACCGACGUACACUCUAAUCUGUUUGCACGAUGGUUUUUGUUUAGAAUCGAUUGCCGCUGCCCCUAUUUUUACUGAGAUCCGUCGAAGUAUUGUUGGUAAGAUUGAAGUUAUGAAAUUGUAGUCGUUUUCAAAACAAUUUAAGUAUGGGUUGUGAUGUUUUCAAGGUGUUCAAACGUUACGGAUGGGUUAAUUGACUAAUUUGAUAAAUUAUUCUUGAAGGUGUGAAAGGUAACCUUGGAUCACUUAAAUUCACAACCAAUUUGUGAAUUUUGAUUUCGGUUUGCCCUUAUUUGGAUUGUUUCGUGGACGAUAGUUGAUUAAGGGAGCUUCCCUAACUUUGAGGCAAAGGUAAUAAAGGCAGCAAACCGGCGAGGGGCAGGAAGGAAGCGUGACCGCCACAGGGGACACUUUAAAAUUUUGCUUCCGCUUAGUGAUUUAUAGUAUUAUUUGUAUUCGAACGUGAGACUGUUUAGAAAAUUUUGAAGUUUUAAAGUAUUCAAAGAUUUGAAACUUUUUAGUUUUAAA